ACAACUUCACUGCAGCCUUGGUUCUGAACACACAACAUGUGCACUUCGCACUGCGCAUGCCAUCACGCCACCCAAGCCAGCAAACGCUGUCAGAAAAACCUCAGCUCGGAUUCAAGACUAUUCUGUGUGGCCCUGAAGAAGUCCCUUAACCCCUCAGUGCUUGGCAGACAGAUGGCAUCGGUGGAUGAAGCACUAAGUCUGGAGUUGGGAAGGGCCUCACUCUAUGCUUCAGCUGGACUUUUCCCUUGCUGUCUCUGACCUCUCGGGUUCCUUCCUGCCCUUGGUGAUGCAUGAAUGGAGACCAGGCAAGUGCAGCUGGAUAAG